AUACGGAGGGUGCGAGCGUUAUCCGGAAUUACUGGGUUUAAAGGGUGCGUAGGCGGCCUGGUAAGUCAGGGGUGAAAGUCCAGGGCUUAACCGUGGGAUUGCCUUUGAUACUGCUGGGCUUGAAUGAGGUUGAGGUGGGCGGAAUGUGGCAUGUAACGGUGAAAUGUGUAGAUAUGCCAUAGAACACCGAUUGCGAAGGCAGCUCACUGGACCUUUCUUGACGCUGAGGCACGAAAGCGUGGGGAGCGAACAGGAUUAGAAACCCUAGUAGUCC
rnacentral:rRNA from 1 species